GAGACAGCGAGGUGAUGCAGGCUUGGUGU
rnacentral:piRNA from 1 species